rnacentral:rRNA from 1 species
AAUGGGCGGGAGCCUGAACCAGCCAUGCCGCGUGCAGGAAGACGGCCUUAUGGGUUGUAAACUGCUUUUGUCGGGGAAUAAACCUGUCUACGAGUAGACAGCUGAAGGUACCCGAAGAAUAAGCAUCGGCUAACUCCGUGCCAGCAGCCGCGGUAAUACGGAGGAUGCAAGCGUUAUCCGGAUUCAUUGGGUUUAAAGGGUGCGCAGGCGGAUUGGUAAGUCAGUGGUGAAAUUCUACGGCUCAACUGUAGAGCUGCCAUUGAUACUGUCAGUCUAGAGUAUAGUUGGAGUGGGCGGAAUGUGUCAUGUAGCGGUGAAAUGCUUAGAUAUGACACAGAACACCGAUCGCGAAGGCAGCUCACUAAACUAAAACUGACGCUCAUGCACGAAAGCGUGGGGAUCGAA